GCCCUACGGGACGCAGCAGUGAGGAAUAUUGGUCAAUGGCCGAGAGGCUGAACCAGCCAAGUCGCGUGAGGGAAGACGGCCCUACGGGUUGUAAACCUCUUUUGUCGGGGAGCAAAGCGAGUCACGUGUGACUCAUUGAGAGUACCCGAAGAAAAAGCAUCGGCUAACUCCGUGCCAGCAGCCGCGGUAAUACGGAGGAUGCGAGCGUUAUCCGGAUUUAUUGGGUUUAAAGGGUGCGCAGGCGGAGGUGCAAGUCAGCGGUCAAAUUGCGGGGCUCAACCCCGCACUGCCGUUUAAACUGCAUC
rnacentral:rRNA from 1 species